GUUUAUACUUGGCCUGAAGGUGACAGCUGGGGGACUAUCUGCCCUCUCUAAGCCUCUGCCCACAGCCACACACCCCACACCCCAGGCAGCGCCCAGAUCCAGCACGUUGCCACCGAGCCCCAGGUCCACUGCUGCCCUCCUGCCCCAGCGCAGCCAAGGCUGAGCCCCCAGGCAAAGCGGGGAUGGGCUCUGCAGAGCUGCUGGGAGCACGCAGCCCUCCCUCCACCAGCUGCCUUCUCGCUCACACCAGCGCCCGGCUCAGCCCCUGCUGACAAGCCACUUAUCAGCAGUUAUCAGGUCUUGGCUGGAGGCUCCGUGCCCAAUCGGGUAACCUCUGUCCUCAGCCUCGCCUUAUCUGAUUGCAGAGAAGAGGUCAUGGCAGAGCAGGCACCAUCUGUUACCCACAGCUGGCACAGGCACCGCAGCGCCAGCCUGAGCUCAGGACUGCCAGUUCCAGCUCGUCUGACAAACACGAUGACAGCAUCAUAUUGAGGUAGGCAAAUUCAUGCUGCCAGGUGAUCUGAUGGAGCACACAGAGGUUGUUAAUGAUCACUCACUCAGUCAGAAAUGCUUGGAAUGGGGCCCACAGUGCAAAGCUAUUGCUGCGAGCCCUGCCAACCCCAGCGAACCCCAUCGGCAGCGAUCAAUGAACAGAGGAGCUCUCUGCCAGAGGACCAGCAGGCCAAG
rnacentral:lncRNA from 1 species